rnacentral:rRNA from 1 species
UAAGCGGAGGAAAAGAAACUAACAAGGAUUCCCCUAGUAACUGCGAGUGAAGCGGGAAAAGCUCAAAUUUAAAAUCUGGUGGUCUUUGGCCAUCCGAGUUGUAAUUUAGAGAAGCGUCUUCCGCGCUGGACCGUGCACAAGUCUCCUGGAAUGGAGCGUCAUAGAGGGUGAGAAUCCCGUCUUUGGCAUGGACACACCAGGGCUUUUGUGAUGCGCUCUCGAAGAGUCGAGUCGUUUGGGAAUGCAGCUCAAAAUGGGUGGUGAACUCCAUCUAAAGCUAAAUAUUGGCGAGAGACCGAUAGCGAACAAGUACCGUGAGGGAAAGAUGAAAAGCACUUUGGAAAGAGAGUGAAACAGUACGUGAAAUUGUUGAAAGGGAAACGCUUGAAGUCAGUCACGUCGACCGAGACUCAGCCUUGCCUCGGCUUGGUGUACUUCUCGGCUGACGGGUCAGCAUCAAUUUUGCCCCUUGGAUAAUGGCGAGGGAAAUGUGACACCUUUAUGGUGUGUUAUAGUCUCUCGUCGCAUGCAAGGGUUGGGAUUGAGGAACUCAGCACGCGCCUUUUGGUGUCGGGGCUUUGCCCACGAUACGUGCUUAGGAUGUUGGCAUAAUGGCUUUAAACGACC